CAGGAAGAGGAGGAUUCCCCUGACACAAGGCUGCAGGGCUCACAAGCACUGACAAUUCACUCAUCAGUUUCAGGACCCAUGAAGACAGAGCCACAGAUUCCCCUGAACAGAAUGGCAAUUUUCGUGUGGUGUUAAUUUCCGUGGAAGAAGAAAAGGCUCGACUCUCUGUCCUAUUUUUCAUGAAUACUGGAAGUAGGGAAUAAACCUGGAGUCUCACGGGUGAAAAGAGACAUUUCCAUAUCACCAGACCACAAACGUGGGUGUUGAUUCUAAGGAUACCCCCAAUAAACAUCUUUCGUGCUAAAGCCCAUUCCAGAAUUUACUUCCCAGCUAUCUUUGAUGUUCAUAUUGUCAGAGGUGGUGGCCGCUGAAACAGGCAAAGACAUGGAGCAUAUCUUGGGUCCAGGUAAAGGAGGUGGGUGCACACAAGUGAAAAGAUGUUGCUGAAGUCACGUGGCUUCAAGCAGUAGAGCUGACUGUCCUCUAGUCCAGUUGUCCCUACAGGAUAAAAGCUUCUCUCCAUUACAGAGACCUUGGGAGUCCAGAGGAAGGUCUUUUUACCAUCAGCAUUCUCUACUGUGUUCAAUGACUGUCAGCCAAAGAUGGCCAGCUUUCCUUCAGAAAGAAAUGCAUUCAAAGAACCUACAUUCACAACAUAAAGAAAUAAAGCCUGCACCUACAGAUCUACACACAUGCCCAUGCACAUGCAGGAAGUGUUCAUCUAAGACUGGACCUUUUAGAAGAAAGCUGGCAUACAUUCGUGAAGGCAUGGGCUUCCAGGCAUGUCAUCUUCACUCACGAAGCACACACAAGACCGCCAAGCAUUAAGAUUCUCCUGUGGAGCCAGGCUACAAUCCUUUAAAUGAAGACAGACAGCUAGGUGGCUGCAGCCCAGCGCUACACCUCACCCCUCCCUCAGUGUCAUGCAGAAAAAAUGUAUUCAGAACUCAGAAGUGAAGUUGUGCAAAUCCAUCAUUGACACUAGCUUCAAGGUUACCUCGGGGGAGCAGAAUGUACCCCUGCCAGAGAGCUGGAUAGAUGAUGAUGGGGACAGAAAUUCUGGGGGAGUUGUAAAUGGCAGCCACUGCCUCUAUAGGAAACCCAAAGGGAACACAGCAGAAGAGGAGGUGGUGGAGGAGCCACUGCCCUCUCGAAGGGUUCAAUGUCAUUCUGCAGACACAACCAAAUAACUUUUUCUUCCCUGCUGCUCCUCCAUUUGAAAUGACAGCCCCGAGCUCGCUUUUUCCUUGAUUGUGUAACUCUGAUUACAGACAAGGCCAAGGCAAUCCCAGGGCAUUACUACAAAGCUAAGGGGUCCCCAAAGAACUAAAGAGUCAGCUCCACAAAAAUCCCGAUUCCUAGCAUGAAACUGAAAUAUGAAACCAAACGGGCAUAGAAAAGGUAUGUGCAUUCGAAUCACAUAGCAGUGACUGGAGUCCUGAGCUGUGUCUGAAGACUGUGAGAUCACGUUUGGAGCUGCUGAUUGGUUUUCAGUGAUGGCCCUGUUGCACAGUGCCGUGAGACUUAGCUCCAUGGCCAAAGACGAUGGUAUCCCCUAGGAGCCCUGUGAGGUUGCUGCUGUUCUCUUAAGACACCAGGUAGCCAUCUGAUCCUCCCUGAGCAAACUAACUGGGCAGACAGGUUUAUUAAACCUCUGUUGGUCCGACUUACAUGAAACAAGAGAGUUAUUUUGUUGUUGUUGUUUUGUUUUGUUUUAAAUUAAACCUGUCUUUGGAGCCUCCUGCUCUUAGUUUACAAGUCUUCUUUGCACACUCUAAUAUUUUAAGAAGCAGCAAACAUUAACUGAGGGUCUA
rnacentral:lncRNA from 10 species